rnacentral:rRNA from 1 species
UACGAAGGGGGCAAGCGUUGUUCGGAAUUAUUGGGCGUAAAGGGAGCGUAGGCGGUUCGGCAAGUCUUUAGUGAAAUCUCUGGGCUCAACCCAGAGUCUGCUGGAGAAACUGCCGGGCUUGAGUAUGGGAGAGGUGAGUGGAAUUCCGAGUGUAGAGGUGAAAUUCGUAGAUAUUCGGAAGAACACCGGUGGCGAAGGCGGCUCACUGGCCCGUUACUGACGCUCAGGCGCGACAGCGUGGG